UACGAAGGGGGCUAGCGUUGCUCGGAUUUACUGGGCGUAAAGGGCGCGUAGGCGGACAGUUAAGUUGGGGGUGAAAGCCCGGGGCUCAACCUCGGAAUUGCCUUCAAUACUGGCUGUCUUGAGUGUGAGAGAGGUGUGUGGAACUCCGAGUGUAGAGGUGAAAUUCGUAGAUAUUCGGAAGAACACCAGUGGCGAAGGCGACACACUGGCUCACUACUGACGCUGAGGCGCGAAAGCGUGGGUAGCAAACAGG
rnacentral:rRNA from 1 species